rnacentral:rRNA from 1 species
GACGAACGCUGGCGGCGUGCUUAACACAUGCAAGUCGAACGGAAAGGCCCUGCUUUUGUGGGGUGCUCGAGUGGCGAACGGGUGAGUAACACGUGAGUAACCUGCCCUUGACUUUGGGAUAACUUCAGGAAACUGGGGCUAAUACCGGAUAGGAGCUCCUGCUGCAUGGUGGGGGUUGGAAAGUUUCGGCGGUUGGGGAUGGACUCGCGGCUUAUCAGCUUGUUGGUGGGGUAGUGGCUUACCAAGGCUUUGACGGGUAGCCGGCCUGAGAGGGUGACCGGCCACAUUGGGACUGAGAUACGGCCCAGAUUCCUACGGGAGGCAGCAGUGGGGAAUAUUGCACAAUGGGCGGAAGCCUGAUGCAGCAACGCCGCGUGCGGGAUGACGGCCUUCGGGUUGUAAACCGCUUUCGCCUGUGACGAAGCGUGAGUGACGGUAAUGGGGAAAGAAGCACCGGCUAACUACGU